UAUUAAGUCCUUAGCUUAUCA
rnacentral:piRNA from 1 species